rnacentral:rRNA from 1 species
CAAGAUGAGAUUUCCCAUCAGUAAUGAAUAAGAGCCCUGAGAGAUGAUCAGGUAGAUAGGUUAGGAGUGGAAGUUGUGUGAGCAAUGUAGCGGACUAAUACUAAUAGCUCGAAGACUUAUCCGAA